UAUUGCACAAUGGGGGAAACCCUGAUGCAGCGACGUCGCGUGAGUGAAGAAGUAUCUCGGUAUGUAAAGCACUAUCAGCAGGAAAGAUAAUGACGGUACCUGACUAAGAAGCCCCGGCAAACUACGUGCCAGAAGCCGCGGUAAUACGUAGGGGGCAAGCGUUAUCCGGAUUUCCUGGGUGUAAAGGGAGCGUAGACGGCAGCGCAAGUCUGGAGCGAAAUGCCGGGGCCCAACCCCGGAACUGCUUUGGAAACUGUGCGGCUCGAGUGCGGGAGAGGUAGGCGGAAUUCCUAGUGUAGCGGUGAAAUGCGUAGAUAUUAGGAGGAACACCAGUGGCGAAGGCGGCUUACUGGACCGUAACUGACGUUGAGGCUCGAAAGCGUGGGGAGCAAAC
rnacentral:rRNA from 1 species